rnacentral:rRNA from 1 species
AGCGAACGCUGGCGGCAGGCCUAACACAUGCAAGUCGAACGAACUCUUCGGAGUUAGUGGCGGACGGGUGAGUACCACGUGGGAACGUGCCCUUUGGUUCGGUACAACUCACGGAAACUUGUGCUAAUACCACAUGUGCCCUUCGGGGGAAAGAUUUAUGGCUAUUUGAGCGGCCCGUGUCUGAUUAGCUGGUUGGUGAGGUAACGGCUCACCAAGGCGACGAUCAGUGGCUGGUCUGAGAGGAUGACCAGCAACACUGGGACUGAGGCACGGACCAGUAUCCUACGCAGGGGAGCAGUGGGGAAUCUUGCGGGAUGAGCGAAAGCCUAGCGCAGCCAUGCCGCGUGAAUGAUGAAGGUCUUAGGAUUGUACAAUUCUUUCACCGGAGACGAUAAUGACGGUACCCGGAGAAGAAGCCCCGGCUAACUUCGUG